rnacentral:tRNA from 1 species
GGGAAGAUGGCUCAGUGGUAGAGCGCUUGCCUUGCAUGCA